rnacentral:rRNA from 1 species
UACGGGGGGGGCAAGCGUUGUUCGGAAUUACUGGGCGUAAAGGGCUCGUAGGCGGCCAACUAAGUCAGACGUGAAAUCCCUCGGCUUAACCGGGGAACUGCGUCUGAUACUGGAUGGCUUGAGUACAGAUGAGGUAGGCGGAAUUGACGGUGUAGCGGUGAAAUGCAUAGAUAUCGUCAAGAACACCGAUAGCGAAGGCAGCUUACCAAGCUGUAACUGACACUGAGGCACGAAAGUGUGGGGAUCAAACAGG